AGAAAACAGUAUACAACCAAAUCAUAGUUCGACCAAAGCAAUAUACCUGCACAUACUUUAUAGUAGCUAGCAGUGACAUACUACUAGUAAUAAUGACUAAAAAGUGUAGUAGAAAGAGUAAUGAACUUGAGUGUUGAAUUUGGUUCUUUGUUUUGUUUUUAAUUUUUAUUUACUUUAUGUAUUGAAUUUGAAACCACUAUACCAGGUUAUUAAUUUGUGAUCAUCCUUCCAGGUUUUAGGGGAGUAGAAUAGAAUUAAAUAAAAUAUACUUUCUUUGGAGAUUCAGAAGUUACUUCUGAAUGUCACAAGAUUUAAAAGUCUUGGUUACCAUCAGUUCUUAACUUACACUUACAACACUAAAGAAUCACUAGAUUAGGCUUGUGAUCUAAUGAGCAAAUUCUAUCCUGAGAAAUAUAGUUAUGAAACAUAGAAAAAGUCUAUGAUUAUGUGCCCAGUUUGAGAGCCCUUCCACUUCCCACAAUGGGAAAAAAGAAAGCCCUGAAGGAACUUAGUAAUUUAGGCACCCCAACUUUAAGACCACCAGGCCAAGUAUUGCUAAUAAGAACACCUGGCACAAGAAUGUAUUAGAUCUGUAGAAUUGGAAGCCUUGGUGUAAUAGUCUGGCACCAACCUGUUUAUUUGCCAUCUGGCUCUUUCAGAAUAUGUAGACUCAACACUGAUCAUUCAUGCUUUUUUGUUUGGAUUUGGUACAAAAAGGGAGCUGAUCUAGGCUCAUACACUUAUACUUCUCUGCAUCUAACCCUGGAUUACACACACCAUCUGCCACAUUUGUUCCUAUUCACAUUCUACUUAAUAGCACUGGAGGGAACCAGGAACCUAUGUUGAUAGGAUCCACAACAAAUGUAUGUUAUAUAAUCUCAACUGGGUUUUCACUAUAGCAAGGCAAUCAUUCUUCUACUUCCUCCUCCCUGCAACUAUAUAGUUGCAAUUUUAAACUUUUUCAUGUCUUUUCAACGCUUCAAUGCAUUCCAUCCUCACUCUUUUUGGUGAAGAUUUCAAUUCAUUUUGUUGGUGUUCAAUUCUUUGUGAUCCUAUUUGGUGUUUUCUUGGGAAAAGAAACUGAAGUGAUUUGUCAUUUCUUUUUCCAGAUAAUUUUACAAAUGAGAAAACUGAGGCAAACAAGAUUAAGUGACUUGUUGAGGGUCGCACAGCUGGGAAGUAUCUGAAGCCAGAUUUGAACUCAUGAAGAUAAGUCUUCCUGAUUAUAGAGCCAGUACUCUAUCCAUUCUAUCAUAUUGUGCCAACAACAGUGAGGUCAUUUCCCAAACAUUCUCUCUUCUCCUUCCUGCCUCAUUUCAUAUCACUCAAAUACUUUUUCCAUCUUUGACUUCUCUGUUGUUGUUUUUCAUCCAUUUCUGAAGAGAACUGAUGACAUCAAGGUGUGAUGAUGUCUUGACUUGUUCAUCAGUUGCGUUUAAUUGAGGCAGAGUUGCACAAAGUCAUGAGCCUCACUUCUUCUUCUACAGUCAUCUAAGUCCAGUGACAAGACAAUAGUCAGGAUGACUGGUGAUAGCCUGGGAUGCAGUCGAUGACCUUGGCAUCAUGAAUAUCUGACCAAGUUCUUCAUUGAUCAGUUGAAACUGAAUUAGGUCUGUUUGUCAAAGAAAUCCAUUUCCAUCAGAUUACAUCUUCAUACAGUAUUGUUGUUGACGUAUAUAAUGAUCUCUUGGUUAUACACAAUAUCUAUUCAGGGUAUAUCUAUAGAUGGACCAAAUUCAUGUGUUAUUCAUUCAACUACAUAAUAUAAAGUGGAUAAUAAUAGGUAUUCAUUAUAUGUUUUGUUUUUUCAAUGUAGAUAGGCCAAUAUCUUUUGAGUGGUUGUUGAUCUCAGUUAGGACACUGC
ensembl:lncRNA